rnacentral:rRNA from 1 species
GAUGAACGCCGGCGGCGCCCCUAACACAUGCAAGUCGAACGAUUAAAGCACCUUCGGGUGUGUAUAAAGUGGCGAACGGCUGAGUAACACGUGGGCAACCUGCCCCUCUCAUUGGGAUAGCCACGGGAAACCGUGGAUAAUACCGAAUACUUCGAGUCUCCCGCAUGGAAGACUCGAGAAAGCUCCGGCGGAGAGGGAUGGGCCCGCGGCCUGUUAGCUUGUUGGUGGGGUAACGGCCUACCAAGGCAAUGAUGGGUAGCUGGGUUGAGAGACCGACCAGCCAGAUUGGGACUGAGACACGGCCCAGACUCCUACGGGAGGCAGCAGUGGGGAAUCUUGCACAAUGGGCGAAAGCCUGAUGCAGCGACGCCGCGUGCGGGAUGAAGGCCUUCGGGUUGUAAACCGCUUUCAGCAGGGACGAGGCGAAAGUGACGGUACCUGCAGAAGAAGCCCCGGCUAACUACGUGCCAGCAGCCGCGGUAAUACGUAGGGGGCAAGCGUUAUCCGGAUUCAUUGGGCGUAAAGCGCUCGUAGGCGGUCUGUUAGGUCGGGAGUUAAAUCCGGGGGCUCAACCCCCGUUCGCUCCCGAUACCGGCAGACUUGAGUUUGGUAGGGGAAGGUGGAAUUCCUAGUGUAGCGGUGGAAUGCGCAGAUAUUAGGAAGAACACCAGUGGCGAAGGCGGCCUUCUGGGCCAUAACUGACGCUGAGGAGCGAAAGCUAGGGGAGCAAACAGG